CGCCCGGAUUCCAGGGCGGAUGCGAUGACGCUGGGCCGUUGAGAACAACAUGAGAGGGACCGGGCGGCGCCUGACUACAGCGGCCGAAAUAGCUCAGUUGGGAGAGCGUUAGACUGAAGAUCUAAAGGUCCCUGGUUCGAUCCCGGGUUUCGGCAGCUCUCCUUUUCCUUUUCUUUCACCCCCCCGCCCCGAGCGUGGUGGAAAUAAGCGAGUGGAGAGAAUACAGGGGGGUUCAUUUUCUUUGUUUGAAACAGCUUCGAGUUUCCCCCCGGGAGCCCGAGCGGCUGGAAACCUCUCGGUGCGUCCCGUCUGGGGAAAUCCAACAAGAGCAAGCUUUUCCUUGAUCCUCAUUUAUUUUAUGUCGUAAAAGCUGACGAACUGCCCCGUGUCUGUCGGCUGCUCGUCCAUUCCCGCCGCCUGUGAUCAUUUCUGCUGCGUGAGCGAGCGCAGCUACAUCAAGCGCGCGGUGUUGCGGGAGAAGAUAAGGCGGGCAGACCUCCGGGCAUGUGAAUAGCUAAACUCCUUGAAGGAGAGAUUUUAAAAUAAAAGGUUGGGCAAAGCCCAAAAGGUGGAGAUGCCGGGGAUCGAACCCGGGGCCUCAUACAUGCAAAGCAUGCGCUCUACCACUGAGCUACAUCCCCCGCCCUCGGAGCCCCGCGGAUGCAGGAAGUGGCGGCCUUUCUCCACGUGCAUGUGUUUCUUCCUUUCGGGGUGCUCAGCGCCUCCAAGGAUCGGAGCAGGUCCCUCCGCGCAGGGGAGAAGCCUGCCCGCCCCGCGGCGCAGGCGGAGACCGCGGGGAGUGAUGCGCGCGGCAGCGGAAGGAGGCGGUUUCUAUAGGAACAGGCGUGGAGGGGCCCUGGCAUGGCUCGUCCUCGUUAGUAUAGUGCGCCUACCCGGAUGCGGCGAUAACAGGUGUAGCUCCUCCUGUCACCACCUGGAGGUGCGGUUUCCCCCACAGUCGAGAUCGGCCUGGAACGUUCCAGAUGUGCUUGUGCUGGAGGAGGCGAACGGGAGCAACUCACAGAACAACGUGAAGAAGGCAGAACCGACGUGAUGCUGGGAACCACAGCGACACUGGGCAGAGUGUCCCGUUGGGCAGUGACAGCGCCUGCAGCGAGGCCUGCGGGGUGGGGCUCAUUCCUAGCCGCCGGGGGUGAUGUGUAGUGUCCGUCGGAGGUCAGAGGUCUGUGCCGGCCUUGCCCUUCGCCCUCCGUGCUGUCAGCAACAACCUUUUUCAGAGGGAGCCGCCCAAAAGGAGACUGGCGUUCCCAGCAGGGGCUUGCUCCCUGCUUCAUCAGUAACAGGACCAGAAUGAAUGAAUGUAAGAAUGAAUGAGUGAAUGAAUGAAUGAAUGAAUGAACGAACGAAUGAAGUGCAUGAACUCUUUAUACUUGUACACUGUAUUUUAUCACUAAAAAUGAAAGCUAUUUUUCAUUAAAUGAAGGGGUCCUGUUGCA